UAUGAUUAGAAUACAGUGCAUUCCUUAAAGUUUAUUGUCAAUUGCUCAUUUUCUUUCCUCCUUUCAGAGGAUGCCAAGAUCAUUAAAGCCAGGACUGGGACCCACAUCAACAUCAUCUAUAAUCUAUUGGAUCAUGAUAUUCCACUGAGCUCAUCCAUCAGUACUUCUACCAAAUGGCAAUGAAUACCGUUACAAUAUUGUAUGCAUAAGCUGGAAAUCAAGAACUUCUAAUCACAGCCCUUAGAGGUAUUUGUACAUGAGGUACAAAGCUUUUGACUUGGUCAAAUGACCUUUACUUGAACUUAAAAAGUUAAUGUACAUUUUAAAGGAAACGAUUCUCACAUGUUUUCACUUAUUUAUGCUUUUUUUUUUCCCCCAGCUUCUGGUUUGAAGACUUGUAUCUGAAAAAUCUUUGGGGAUUUUCAAAUGAGGAUUAAUAUUAAUUUUUUCUCUCCAAAAUAGGAAGUUAAGUUUGGUCAUGGGUAAAUGACCACAAAACCUCAAAUGUUUUAGUUUUCCUCCAGAGCUCAGAUUUAUCAGUUUAGAGCCAGACUUGGCAAGAGAUGCUCUGUCAUUCAUGGGAUUUAGUCCAUUAAUGAAUUUUUUUUUCAAAAGAUAAAGGGCAAGGUUGGAUGAUUUACAUUAAAAACAUUUAAUUUGAAAUAAUGUAAACUGGAAACCAUACACUCUGUUGAGACCCUUUACAAAGGAGUAAGUGGAACUUGGCAAACCUGCUACCAGUUGUCUUUUGGGAGAUGCUGUACUGAACUAGCAAAACUGCAAGGCAGUGCCAACCCACUUUAGGAUAACAUCUGAAACUCUCCAGAACUCUGUUAAGUAGCCCAGUUAGUCAUUGCUAGCACAGUGCAUCUUAUUACCC
rnacentral:lncRNA from 12 species